rnacentral:misc_RNA from 1 species
AAAUAGUAUAUUCGACUAUACUAAGAUCUUUCUUCCUGGUUUUUAAACUGUUAAUUACGUUAUUUCUAUUUUCUGUUAAUGGCAUCUGCCAAGAGAUCUGUGCAGUGUUUGUUGAGCAGAGUUUGCAGGGAUACUAGGAGAAGUUAUGGUGCUCUUCCUGAAGGAACCACUCCUUCCUCCUCUCAUCGACUCAUCAACUUGGAGUCGCCCACAAUUACCAUCCAGUUCCUAUUGUGUUUUCUCAAGCAAAGGGUUCCUCUAUAUGGGAUCCUGAAGGCAACAAAUAUCUGGAUUUUCUUUCGGCUUACUCAGCAGUUAAUCAGGGACACUGUCAUCCGAAGAUAAUAAAAGCAUUAAAAGAGCAGGCAGAAAAGCUUACUCUGAGCUCUAGAGCCUUUUACAAUGAUAGAUUUCCAAUAUUUGCAGAGCGCCUAACAAGCAUGUUUGGCUAUGAUAUGGUGCUACCAAUGAAUACUGGUGCUGAGGGUGUGGAAACAGCUCUCAAGUUGGCUAGGAAAUGGGGAUACCAGAAGAAACAAAUUCCUAAAGAUGAGGCCAUUAUUGUCUCUUGUUGCGGCUGUUUCCAUGGUCGUACAUUGGCUGUCAUCUCUAUGAGCUGUGACAAUGAGGCAACUCGGGGUUUUGGACCAUUGUUGCCUGGACAUCUCAAGG